AUUUUCCUAGCGGCCGAAAUAAAAGGAAGGUUGAUCGAAGGAUCGGAUCUACAUGAAGCUUAAAAUACAGCUAGCUUAGGCGCAAGACAAUCCUCAGACGAUAUGAAUUGGAUUUGAUCUCCCUCUUGUAUACGCCAUUUAGAGGUUCACCUUCUUAAAUGACCUACUGACACUUCACUUUUUGAACGAGCUAACCGAGGCUACCUUCAAUCAACUGUGAUGUGAGGUAAGGACAAUUCGGUAUAGCUUUCCAGGUUGGUUCAAAGACUAGCCCUUGGUUAAGGGGCAGUGUUGAGAUCCAUGGAGAGUACUUAGAUAUUAGUGAGGGUAGAAGGAAUUGAAUGUCACUAACAAGACUAAGCACACGAUCCGGGGGCAAAUGUUGAUUUGCUUACUCUUUUACUCAAUUGAAUCAGCUUAGCUAAUGAAAAAGCUUCAAGGUCCAAUUUGACUAACAUAUCGCCCUUGGAAGACCUCUUCGCAAUCUCCUUCCUACCUGACGAGCACAUCAGACAAUCGGCUCUUUCAUGACUCCAUAACAACUACCUUAUCCAUUGAUCUCUUGUGAAUGUGAAGGUCCCAAGAACUACCUUCGCUUUUCAAGCUGCAGCUAUUGCUAUUGUUGUGCUUGGGAAUUGUUUGAGCUCGUUAGCUUCACAAAUCUCCCCACGGUUUAUCCAGCGAUUUAUCUUUACCCGGAUUUUAAAAAUUUUAUUUACUAUGUAUAUGUCUUAGUUGACAAAGCUGUUUACGUAAUAGGCUGCUGGCUAGAAAGAUAGG
rnacentral:lncRNA from 1 species